rnacentral:rRNA from 1 species
UACAGAGGUCCCAAGCGUUGUUCGGAUUCACUGGGCGUAAAGGGUGCGUAGGCGGCAUAAUAAGUUGUUGGCGGGAAAUCGAGGCUCAACCUCGUGGAAACUGAUAAUACUGUUUUGCUUGAGUACAGGAGAGGUUAACGGAACUCCGUGUGGAGCGGUAAAAUGUGUAGAUAUAUGGAAGAACAUCAAUAACGGCGAAGGCAGUUAACUAUUCUGUUACUGACGUUGAGGCACGAAAGCGUGGGGAGCAAAAAGG